GUGUGGCUCAGCAGGCAGAGCGUUUCCUUGGCAUGCGAAAGGUUCCCUGGGUUCAAUCCCCACUGGCAUCUCCA